rnacentral:lncRNA from 1 species
AUAUCUAUAUAUAUUUGGAGUAAUUUUUUCACUUAAAAGAUAUUCAAGUCGCACGGGUGAGGCAUUGUUAUUUCAACUUUAAUUUUAAAAGCAGCAUUCAUUAUUUUUUUCACAAUUUAGGCACAAGCACUUGUCUCAAGAUUUUCUAUUAUCAUGUAUAAUUUCUAUCGUCGUGUCAGAUAAAAUUGAGAAAGGAAAUGGGGAAUGUGUCAAGCGAAAACAACCUGACCAUAGAGCAGACAAUGGCCAAAGGCCACCAAUGGGUCUUCAAUGUAGCAAGAAACUCCCGCACCCGUAGUCAUCUUUCCGCUGUUUUCGUAUGUCAUAUGUUUUCAUAUGAUCCACAUUUCAAGUCUAAAGUGGAAAGGAUAUUAUAUUUGGAAAGUACUGAAAGGCUUUCAAAAGAAAAACAAGAAGUAUUUGACAUAAAAAAAAAUUGACUAAUGAAUGAAACGCAGCAAAUUCGAUUUAAAACUACAAAUUAAAACAAAUACCUUAUAUUAGGUUUUUUUCCUGUCAAAUUAGUUUUGAAUUUUUUGCCUCCAUGAAUACAGGAAAAAAUUAUUAUGUUAAAUCUUAAAAUCCCCUUUAAUUUUUGUGUUUCCAUUUCUUCUUUUAUCCUCUGAGUUUCUUUUAUACAAUUUAUAAAAUUAAUCAACUCAUCAUGAUCAUGCUCAUAGUUUGGAACAAUUUGUUUCAAUUUAUGAUAACUUUGAGUGAAUGUCUUCCCCACAUGUAUCAUAUCACGCUCCUCUGUUUUAAGAAUAUUUUUUAAUGGAGAAAAACUGUUCACUUACCUAUAUAUAAAUAUUUAUAAAACUUAUCAUGCUUAUGAGUAGUUUUAAUCAAUUUAUUCACUAAUUGCGACAAAUUUCUUAUAUAUUUCAAGUUUCAUUUCGAUCCCGUGCCAUUUUCUUGUAAAACCGGAUGUGGGUAUGCGUAGCCUACGAACGGCAAUUUGACUGUUCGUGGGUACACUGCCUUUUAUAAAAAUGACCUAUUUGCCAUUUUUAUUUAAUGUCAAAAAUAUACAUCACUAGAAUAGGUGUUGAAAAAAUUUCUGAAGGGUUAAAAUAAGGUCGAGGUAUGUUUUUAGACCGUCAGACACCGGAUCUUCAAGACAUGUGACUGGCAUAUUUUUUUUGGCCGUUUAAUUACAAACCAGCGAAUUAAAAUUAACAGGGUUCUUAUAUCAUGUAUAUAAAAUGGUUGUUCAAACUCCAUUUAUUUAAUAUUCUAUUGACAAUUUUUUUUAUAUAUCCUUAAUAUAUACUACAUCAACUAAAAGCUAUUAACAAGUGAGCUUUAGUACUGAAAAGAAUUAAAUAUUUUUUUUUGUGAUUCAAGCAAGGCCUUUGAAAAUAGUGGAAUUAAUUACUUUUGGAGUGUCAAGAACUCGUUGGAAGUACUUGAUAAAUUGCAUGCUUAUAUUGGUGAUUUUAAAUCUGUUCAAAGUUUUGAUUUUUCUACCCUGUAUACCACAUUGCCUCACAUUCUCAUUAAGAAAAAAUUCACACGCCUAAUUAAAUGGGCAUUUCAAAAGUCAGAAUGUGAAUAUAUAUGUUCAAACUCUUUUAGGUCAUUUUUUAGUAGCAAUAAACAAAAAAAACUAUGUCAAUUGGACAUGCUUUGAUACUAUAUAUGCCCUUGAAUUUUUACUAGAUAACAUUUUUGUUCGCUUUGGGGAUUCUGUAUAUCAUCAGAUUAUCGGAAUUCCAAUGGGGACUAACUGUGCACCACUUAUUGCGGACCUGUUUUUGUAUUGCUAUGAGUUACAAUUUAUGACAAAAAUAAGCAAAGACCCAUCGAAACAACAUCUGAUAAACAAAUUUAAUAAUACUUUUAGAUAUUUGGUCCAUUUGGAUGAUAUUUUGGCUCUCAAUAAUGACGACUUCAGUAUGUAUAUUAAAGAAAUUUAUCCUGUUGAACUUACUUUAAAUAAAGCUAAUACUAACAAUGACCACUGCCCUUUCCUCGAUCUUGAUAUCUAUAUCACUAACGGAAAGCUGAAUACUAAAAUUUAUGAUAAAAGAGAUGAUUUUUCAUUUCCUAUCAUUAAUUAUCCAUUUUUAGAUGGUGACGUUCCCUUGUCACCAUCUUACGGUGUUUAUAUAUCUCAACUUGUACGAUUCGCUUGUGUAUGUAACAAUGUUUUAGAUUUUAACGAGAGAAAUUUAUGUAUUACUGAAAAAUUAUUACACCAGGGUUUUCAAUAUCACAAACUAGUCAAAACAUUUACUAAGUUUUAUCAUCGGUAUUAGGACAUCAUUCGUAAAUAUAGCUCAACAUGCAGACUUCUUAUACGUUCAGGUAUUUCACAUCCAAUUUUUUAUGGAAAUAUUCUUUAUAAAGCACAAAGGUGUCAGUAUUCACCUCAAAAACUAACAAAACCUUUGAAUAGACUUAUUAAGAAGGGAUAUAGUUACGAUACUGUUGUCAGGUCAUUAAAGAUUGCAUAUUUUGGCGUUAAUAUUGAUUCACUUAUAGGGUCUUUGCAUCGGAACUAAACACAUUUAUUCAAAAACCAGUUGUUGGCAUGACACGGGUUAUGUUCUUCUCAUAUAUGUUAUGAUGGUAUGAUACUAAACCCUAACGGGAAGGAUUGUGCCUGAUGUUCAUAUGAUGAAAUCAUAAUCUUUCAGUCAGUUUAAUUGAAGUCUGGAGCUGGCAUGUCAGUUAACUGCUAGUAGUCUGCUGUUAUUUAUGUAUUAUUGUCAUUUUGUUUAUUUUCUUUGGUUACAUCUUCUGACAUCAGACUCGGACUUCUCUUGAACUGAAUUUUAAUGUGCAUAUUGUUAUGCGUUUACUUUUCUACAUUGGCUAGGGGUAUAGGGGGAGGGUUGAGAUCUCACAAACAUGUUUAACCCGCCGCAUUUUUGCGCCUGUCCCAAGUCAGGAGCCUUUGGCCUUUGUUAGUCUUGUAUUAUUAUUUUAAUUUUAGUUUCUUGUGUACAAUUUGGAAAUUAGUAUGGCGUUCAUUAUCACUGAACUAGUAUAUAUUUAUUUAGGGGCCAGCUGAAGGACGCCUCCGGGUGCGGGAAUUCCUCGCUACAUUGAAGACCUGUUGGUGACCUUCUGCUGUUGUUUUUUUUCUAUGGUCGGGUUGUUGUCUCUUUGGCACAUUCCCCAUUUCCAUUCUCAAUUUUAAUUACUAGAACCACGACUUUAGAAAAUACACAUUUUCCGGAUUUUAUAUUCAUUUCCUGUCCGUGUACUGAUCUAGUUUUUACUUCAUACGAAAACAUAUGACACCGUUUUUUGACAUGAUUUUCGCAAAAUAAUUAGAAACAGUAAAAAAUCGUAGUGAGCCUUGACAAAAAAAUCUAAAUACCUAAAAACAUUCAACAGAACAUGCUUUAAAAAUUUGAGCUCACAAGUGAAUAAAAACUCAACUGUAAGCAGUGAAAAUUGUUAAUAGUGCUUAAACACAUCACACUACUGACUAGGAUAUACAUGUAUAACACAAGGUACUUAACUUCUAUUUCUGAAAAAAGUCACCUGGUCUCGAAAUUUGUUUUAUUACAAUUUCUUGGUUGUCAACUCAACUAAAACUUGUUCUACUGUGAAUCAAAAUUGAUUUAUCUACACAAUACCUUGUUUCUGGUAAUUCUUUCACGGGAAAAGAUUGUCAAUUUCGCACACCUUUAUGACGUCAUUUACUAUAAGACCUAUUGGUGUCCUUCUGUUGUUGUCUAUUCUAUGGUCAGGUUGUUGUCUUUUUGAUACAUUCCCCAUUUCCAUUCUCAAUUUUAUAUAAAUAAUUUAUGUUCCUUGAGUAUACAAUGUAUGUUAUCUUGAUUUUUUGUAAGUAUGAGGGAGGGUGACCAUCUUAUAUUUUAAUUUUCCAAAUAUUUUGUGCAGUUUAAAAUCAAACUUUUUCAUCCAUUUGCUCCACAUGUGUUGGAAGUGAUGAUGCAUACAUUUUGGUCAUGCAGUGCUGGAAGUCACAUGACAGAUUCAAAUAAAAAUGGUAUCCCGGAACUGCCGUAUUGACUUGUCACAAUGGUGUGUAACUCCCCUACCUUGAUGUCUGAUUCAUUCGUAGUGUAACAGGAGUGAAAUUUUUACUGGCUUUGCCAUCUUCCCGUUGUCUGUCCUAGUUCUGGGAUAUUAGAUAAACUAUAAAACACUUAAAUAUGAAGAAGAUGUUUAUUUAAAGACAUAUAAAUGGUUGAACAUCAGUUAAGAUACAAUUAAUUUACAGUGGUGGGUGGUCUACUUGUCAUUCAAUAAAGGUUCCAUAUUUGCCAAACGAUAUGAGCAUCUGGUUAUUUCAAAUCCUAAGUCAUUGUGUAAGUUGUAGACUACCUUGAAACCAGUGAGUAACAUCAUACCUAUAGUUCCUAGGGCCAACAAGCUUAACCCAGGAAGAUGUCAGGCAUGUGUAAGAACAGGAAGUCCUGACAAGAAUAAUUACAUGGCUGGUCUCGUGAGAAAGAGUUAAGCAGGGUUCUCGUUAAGACGUGUAUACGUGUCCUGAACGCAUGAAAAUCUAGCUGGAUGCUUCAUUUUUUAAACCUGUGAGUCCCUGGGACGCGUCCUGAUUGUAUCCCCUUUGUCAUGUUUGUCCCAAAAACAUUGUUUUGUCUAGAAGAUUCCUGAUUGUUGAUAUUGUUUUAACAAGAAACUUUACGGAAGUCGAUGUUGAAAAAUUAAUGUCCUGCGUAGAUGAAUAUUCUUGUUGCCUUAUAACAGGUGAUUGUUAUAAGUUUAUUUACGCUGUCUGCAUGGAUACACCCAAUGACCAUGAACAAUCAUGAUCAAGUUUUUUGUCAAAUUGAAAAGUAAAAAUUGUUUGCCGACUUUUUUUGUAAUAUAAAUGCUUGAUAUAAAUCAUUAAAAGCAGUAUAACCCAGAUAUUAAAUGAAUUCCUAGACCACAUGUUUACUUUGUUGACAAACAUGUCACAUGUUCACUUUUGGCGGGGGAAAAAUACUGGGGAAAACCUAAAUAACAGUCAACCCUUUCUGGAUAUUUAUAGACAUUUAAAAUAAACAGCUGAAAUAGGAGUGCCAGGAAAAUAGUUAAACUUGGUAUAUCAUGUAUAUAUAAUUCAAUCUAAACCAAUUUUAUUGGGAAAAGGGUGUAAAGGGCAAGGGGUUAGAUUGUAAAGUUAUUUAUUUUUUUUGCCAUUUUAGUCCAAUGAUAACUUAAUCAUUACUGAACCAAAUUUCAGUAUAUGGUAUAGAAAUUCCCUGCUUUAGACCCAAUCUUUUUUUUACGGCACACUGGCUUUGGCAAACCAACAUUUUUUCAAGUUGAUAGACCCGGAAAGAAGUCUGUUAUAUAUUUUGUAAUGACUAAUUACUAUUUUAAAGAGAUCAUAUUUUUUUGAUUAAUAAAAACUGUGAAUCCAACACGCAUCGUUUCAGUUUUGUUUCGUCAUAUUUCAUUAUAUUUUCAGACACAAAAAAUUACAUGCAUUCUGGACUCAAAAAUUCCUAGUCAGAACCUGUUAAGGAACUAUGAAUAAUACUAACAUUAACCUAUUAAAUAGAAUAAUCAUGUAAACAAAGUGACCACCAUUACAGUAGCAAGCCUACCCAAGUAUGUCAACAGGAAAUAUUUCGUCUACCACCAACACCCAUUUGGAAAAGGGAGUAAAUGAUUGAUUAUUAAAAGAAUAUAUUAUAAAAAAAAAAAAUUGGACGAAUAGAACUUAUCAUCCAGAGAGUAAAUUUGUAAAAGAUUCCGUGAAAACAAAUCUAACAAGUGUCAUUUGAGGUAUGUCUAAUGAGUUAAGGUUUUCUAUUUUUAGACUCAUUUUAUCCCAUUCCAGCAAUGUCAUUCAGACUAUCUCUGCAGAGUUCGCGAAAAAAAGUGGUGGUCCUUAGGAUUUUACUACCAAAUUAAUAGUGAGGACCAGCAGAUUUUCAUCAAGGACCACCAAGAAAAAAAAGAUUUUGCGAACUCUGUCUCUGGAUUUACCACAUGAAAUGAGAUAAGAUCAGAUUACUCUGAGAAACAUUUAUUUUUAGCUCACCUGACCUGAAAGGUCAAGUGAGCUUUUCUCAUCACUUGGCGUCCAGCGUCCGUAAACUUUGAGGUUAAUUUGUUGAUCAGGCCAAGAUCUAUCUGCCCUGAAAUUUUCAGACGAAUCGGACAACCUGUUGUUGGGUUGCUGCCCCUGAAUUGGUAAUUUUAAGGAAAUUUUGCAGUUUUUGGUUAUUAUCUUGAAUACUAUUAUAGAUAGAGAUAAACUGUAAAAAGCAAUAAUGUUCAGCAAAAUAAGACCUACAAUUAAGUCAACAUGACCAAAAUUGUUGACUGCUUAAGGAGUUAUUGCCCUUUAUAGUCAAUUUUAACAACUUUAUUGUCAUUUUUUGUAACUUGUACAAAAAUCUUCUUCUCUGAAACUACUGGGGCAAAUUUAAACUAAAUUGGCCACAAUCAUAAUGGUGAUGUAUAGUUUAAAAAAUGUGUCCGAUAAGUCAACAUGACCAAAAUUGUCAGAGAACCUGUUAAGGAGUUAUAGUCCUUUAUAGUCAAUACUGAACAACUUUUCGUCAUUUUUGUAACUUGUAAAAAAAUGUUCUUUUCUAAAACUAUGGGCAAAAUUGAACAAAACUUGGCCACAAUCAUUUCUAGGGUAUCUAUUUUAAAAAGUGUCUAAUGACCCCGCCUACCAACCAAGAUGGCCGACAUCAGUAAAAAGGGUAACAGGUGAGCGACACAGGCUCUUGAGAGCCUCUAGUUUAGCAAUGGUCCUUCCCAGAAAAGUUUACCAUACGUGAACCAAGAUAUAAAUAAAACAGAGUGGGAAGAUACCUUUUACUUCGUGACUUAUGUUUCCAAUCAUGAUUUAAAGGCGAAAAAAGUUACGGUUGAGUGGGGUUGACAUAAUUAGGUUGACCUGCACAGUUAGUCACUAAUCCGAUGCCCCAGAAUAGUAAAAUUUCCUCUCGGACUAGUGAGAUUUUGCAAAACUUAGAUGGUUGCAUCUCCAAUGGAAAUUUGAAUUGAGAUUAUAAUGAACAUAUCUUGAGGGAAAGAAUUUUUUUGGGGGUUAAAGGGUGGGGGAGGAGAAAAAAAUUGGGUGGGGAGGGGAUUUUUUAGAAAUUAAAAAGAAAAUUUCUUCAUUAACAUAAAAAAUAGGGGUCAAUACAUCUUUUUUUCAUGUUGGGGUCAAUAUGCAACAUAGUGUAUUGCACAAAAUAAAAAAAGGGGGGGAUUUAUUUUUAUUUUUGGGAGGGGGCAAUUCUCAACAGCAUAGUGUUGCACUAAAGCAAAAAAUUUAAUAUAAAUUCAAAUCAUAUAACCAAUUUUAAGUUCUUUGACUACAGUUAUUCAAUUUCUGUGUCAGAAACCUAUGGUGUGUCAAAUAUUUAAUUACAAUCCAAAUUCAGACCUGUAUCAAGCGCGAAUAUUGUGUCCAUUUUUGUCCCAACGGUUCAGGGUUGGACCUCUGCCGUUGUAUCAAGCUGUGCUGGAUGAACAAUUUAUUAGUACCUAGAAUAUGUUUACAAAUGUUGACAUGAACCUUUUUAAAAGGAGUUGUGUUCUUAUAAAGUCAAUUUUCUAUGCGUUUGUUUUGUGGAUUUUAGUCUGCCUUUUGGUUUAUAUUAACAAUGAUUUGUAUCCAUGUAUGAUAUUUCUGCAUUACAUGUCAAAAUUGGCUUAAUAAGUUCUAGAGAAUCGCAGAGAUUUUGGGAGAUUUACCCAAAAAGCUCCAUGUGAUUUUAUUGGAAAAAAGAGCUUUCCUAGCUUUUUAGGAUAAAUCUGUUGAGUUCACACUUUGAUUUUUGUUAUUUUUCAUUAAGUUCUUGGCUGAAUGAUCAUUGUUUUUAUUUUCUUUGUAUUUAAACACAACCAGUAAUUUGAGAAUAUGAUAAGGUCAUCUGCAAACAAAAGACUUCCUAUAUUUAGAAUUUAAUACUUUCAGGGGUUUGAAUCUUAAAUGAGUCUUUAUUGUCAAUUAUCAUUUGCAAAUAAUAUAUAUAUAUAUCUCAAGGUUAUAAAAUUGAUCCUAAUAGUAAUAAGUAAAUAAUUACGGACCCACCCCUAGGAUUUGCAGAACCUCAUUAAUGAUCUAGAUAUUGACCCUUAUCAGCUGAUUGUCUCCAGCAGCUGUUUAUAGAUGAAUGAGAUAGUAGAUUGAUUUCCUGUAUUGAUCUCUAAUGGAUUUGUUAAGUGUUUAAAAGUGACAUUUCUGGUUAACUGAACAGUCUAACAGUCUAACUCAUAAGUAGAUUUUUGUUAGGAUUUCCACCAACAUUUACAGACAGGUAGCUCUAAUAAGUUUUUAAAUAGAUUUAGGAUGCAUUUAUUAGUAACAUUUUUUUCUUAGUAAUUCUUUGUUUUUAGAUGUAUUCUGAUUCUUUUGUUAUAGAUCUCCUGCAUUGUAUAAUCAUAUACAUGUACAUACAUAUCAUACAAUCUUUACUGGUGUUACAAGUAUCAACAUUUGGAUAAGUUUAUUGUUGAUAUCUUCAAUUAUUAAGUGAAAGAAACUUUGUGUUUAAAUGUCUUUUAGAAUUAAAUAUCUGUUGUGAGUCUGUUUAAACAAUAUCAAACAAUAUCAAUUCAAAUAAUUACUAAUGAUAAAAAAGAUAAAAAAGAUGAAAUAAAGACUUUUUAGUUAUAUGCAGAAGUCACAAUUAAUCGUUUUUUAUACGACCACAAAAUUUGAAAUUUUUCGUCGUAUAUUGCUAUCACGUUGGCGUCGUCGUCUGCGUCGUCGUAUUCGUCGUCGUCCGAAUACUUUUAGUUUUCGCACUCUAACUUUAGUAAAAGUGAAUAGAAAUCUAUGAAAUUUUAACAUAAGGUUUAUGACCACAAAAGGAAGGUUGGGAUUGAUUUUGGGAGUUUUGGUCCCAACAUUUUAGGAAUAAGGGGCCAAAAAGGGCCCAAAUAAGCAUUUUCUUGGUUUUCGCACUAUAACUUUAGUUUAAGUUAAUAGAAAUCUAUGAAAUUUUGACACAAGGUUUAUGACCACAAAAGAAAGGUUGGGAUUGAUUUUGGGAGUUUUGGUUCCAACAGUUUAGGAAUUAGGGGCAAAAAAAGGGCCCAAAUAAGCAUUAUUCUUGGUUUUCGCACAAUAACUUUAGUUUAAGUAAAUAGAAAUCUAUGAAAUUUAAACACAAGGUUUAUGACCAUAAAAGGAAGGUUGGUAUUGAUUUUGGGAGUUUUGGUCCCAACAGUUUAGGAAUAAAGGGCCCAAAGGGUCCAAAUUAAACUUUGUUUGAUUUCAUCAAAAAUUGAAUAAUUGGGGUUCUUUGGUAUGCCGAAUCUAACUGUGUAUGCAGAUUCUUAAUUUUUGGUCCCGUUUUCAAAUUGGUCUACAUUAAGGUCCAAAGGGUCCAAAAUUAAACUUAGUUUGAUUUUAACAAAAAUUGAAUCCUGGGGGUUGUUUGAUAUGCUGAAUUUAGAAAUGUACUUAGAUUUUUAAUUAUUGGCCUAGUUUUCAAGUUGGUCCAAAUGGGGGUCCAAAAUUAAACUUUGUUCAUCAAAAAUUGAAUAAAUGGGUUCUUUGAUAUGCCAAAUCUAACUGUGUAUGUAGAUUCUUAAUUUUUGGUCCAGUUUUCAAAUGGUCUACAUUAAGGUCCAAAGGGUCCAAAAUUAAACUAAGUUUGAUUUUAACAAAAAAUUAAAUUCUUGGGCUUAUUUGAUAUGCUUUAUCUAAAUAUGUACUUUGAUUUUUGAUUAUGGGCCCAGUUUUCAAGUUGGUCCAAAUCAGGAUUCCAUAUCAAGUAUUGUGCAAUAGCAAGAAAUUUUCAAUUGCACAGUAUUGCACAAUAGCAAGAAAUAUAUCUAAUUGCACAAUAUUGUGCAAUAGCAAUUAAUUUUCAAUUGGAGUUAUCUUUCUUUGUAUAGAAUAGAAGUUGAUAAUAUAUGUUGGAAAUUUGCCAGACAUGACUAUGAUGUCAUUUUCUAUUUUUAUUUGCCAAUAACUUUAUGUAAAUAACUUCAUUGGAAAUUUGCCAAUAUAAAAUGUUGCUGAUGAAGCUUUUUUUCCUUAUCUUAUCUAAAAUGUUUUUAGAUAAUGUAUGUUGGACAUUUGCCAGACAUGACUAUGAUGUCAUUUUCUAUUUUUAUUUGCCAAUAACUUUAUGUAAAUAACUUCAUUGGAAAUUUGCCAAUAUAAAAUGUUGUUGAUGAAGUUUUUUUUAUUGUUUUAUACAAUAAACAAUGUAUAUUCACUUUUACUACCAACCAAUCUUUACCAUUCAGUGAUAACAAGCACUUUAUUUUACAUUUUAAUAUUUUAUGAUGUAUUUAAAAGAGUAGUUAUUGUUGCAAACUCCAUUAGAAAUUUGAAUUGAUAUCAGUUUUGGAAAAAGGGAAACGGGGAUGUGAAAAAAAAGGGGGGGGGGUUAAAUUUUUCUCAUUUCAGAUUUCAUAAAUAAAAAGAAAAUUUCUUCAAACAUUUUUUUGAGAGGAUUAAUAUUCAACAGCAUAGUGAAUUGCUCAGGCACUAAAAUUUUGUUUGCAGUUUUCCGACUGUACCUUCAGACUGAAGGGUCGGUAGGUAGGAAAAAUAUUUUAUUUUAUCAGCCAAAAUACAGUUUAAACAAGCAGUUACGUACACUAAACCAAGUUUUUUGUGAAGAAAAAAAAACAUUUUAAAACAACAAACACUGGACAUGCUGAAAACCAACAUCAAAUGAACAGGCAUUUUCAGAUAAAAACUUUUUGACCAAAACUGAAAGCUUAACAUAGUGUCAUUAUUCAAUUUAUGACAUAAAAUAUGGUAAAUUAUUAAUACUGGAACACUUAUAAACAAGGAAUGUCAUUAUGACUAGAACUGUUUUAAAGAAAUAUAUUCAGACAUGAAUGCUUCUUGACUAGAAUGUUUUCAUGAGUAGAGUUUUUCAUCAGAAAAUUGUAGAUAAUAACGAUUUAGACAAGUAUAAAGAGUGUAUUUUUAAAAAAAAAAAAAAUAACCAUGAAUCUUCGUCAAUUGAAAAAAAAGGCAACUUGAAAAAAAAGUAUUAAGACAUUCGACUGUUUUCAUAUUCUAAUAAUUUUAAUUAUAUGUGUAAGGUUAUUUUUGCAGGCUUUAAUGAAAACCAAAGAAAUCUAAACUUGGUGUGAAAUCCUUUCACCCCAUUAAAGUAAAUGAUGUACUGAAAUGUUUUAUGCUAAAAAAAUUGGCAGCAUAGCUCCUAAGGACAUGUUUUAUUGAAUUCCCAGGCACACAGUUUGGGUAUAUUUAAUUUGUAAGAAAGAAAUAUUGCAAUGAGUGGGCAGCCCCCUAUCCUAAGGAGCAUACUCAUUCAUCAAAUAGAGUUAAUAUUGAGAGAGUAUAUUAUUUUCAAGCUAACCAUUCAUUUCUCUACCUUUUUGUUAGUAGGGUUGCUUCUUUUGAUUUGCAUGAUCUAUAUCCAUUAACAUUCAAAUGAGCCUUCCUCCGUACAGGCGUGUUUCAGAUACCAUGAAGAUUUAAGUCACGGAGGAGUUGGUUUCAUCUUGUUCGUCUUCACAACGAUUUUAGAAAUAGCAUACUUCAACUGCUGUCGAAUUAUUUAACCACUGAAAUUGGUUCCAUAAGUCAGGCUCCACAGAUUCUGUACCUGAUUGUUGAGAACAGAAUGUAUCGUGCAGUUAGACUAUCGCGCAUCAUCGUUAUGAUAUAUCACACUCAUUACAGUGCCUGAAUUGAUAAACAGUUUACUAUAAACUUUUUUGUUUGUUAUUUGUCUUAAAUUGACACGAGACGACAGCGAAAGUAUGACUUCAUGGAACCUGUACACAAUUUCAUGUGCUUUAUAUAAAUGCACACAUGAACGCUUGACGGGAAGCUAAGAAAAACCGAACUUGAAAUCAUAUGACCCAGACUUUAAAUCAUUUCGGAAAGACCAAAGUUUCGGAUCGCGUCAAUAAAGUAUUAAAAAAAAUUUUUCAAUUUAAGCAAUAAAUUUCACCGUCGGGAGGAUUUUCAAAGGGUCGGUCGUAAACUGCAAACAAACAAUAUUAAUUUAGCCUCAAAGGCAAAAAAAAUUUUAAGUUCAUUAGACCAUAUCAUUCUGUGUCAGAAACCUAGCUGUGUCAACAUUUAAUUUUAGAUUUAAAAAGUUUGAAGAAGAAAUCUUUAUUGAUUUGUAAAUCUUGACAUUUUUGUGUAAAAAAACAUAGAAUGUCAAAAAAUUAUCACAUCCAAAUUCAGAGCUGAUCACGCUAGAAUGUUUUUCCAUACUUGCCCAACUGUUCAGGUUCGACCUCUGCGGUCGUAAGCUGCGCCCUGUGGAGCACCUGGUUUCAUAUAGUUCCUUUUUGUCCUGAAGUUUUCAGAGAUAUAUUAUCUGCCUCUAGAAUUGAAGUAACUUUUGACCCUUGGGAUUUCUUGAAGUCACUAAAAGUUUGUUUUACCAAAGUUUUAUUACUUAUUUGUUUUCAUUACUAAAUAGAUCUAGUUAUCAGUACUGGACAGUAGUUUAAACUUUUGGAUAAAGAAGAAGAAUUAUUUUCAAAAAUAUAUCAAUAAUUAUGCAUUCAUGAGUGAUUUUAUAGUAAUUUUACAUCAAACGAUUUGAAAAGGCAAGGACAUAUAUCAUGUAUAUUAGUUAUAUCAUAAUGUCCUUGGAAAAUUGAUGUAUUAAGUAUGCUCAUUUGACAAGGUUAAAUAACAAUAAAAAUGUAAGUGUCCCUGACCAGCUGAAUACCUGAUUUAUACCUGAUUUAUAGAUGUUCAACGUCUAUAUGUACUUUCUAUGAUAUCUAUUACAGAUAUAGGUAUAGGUAAGACAAUCUCAGGUGUUUUAUCCAUACAACAGAAAAUAUCAGUCCGUACAGGAAAAGUAGUUGAAGGUCUGUUAUUUGUUCAGUACAGUUUUAAGGGAAGAUUUUACAUCUUUUUUUAUUCAGUAUUUUGUUUCUAAAAGUUUGAAUUUGAAAUUAAGAAUAUAACAUUUUAACAAAAGUCAUUGAUCAUGUUUAUUAGGUAAUUUCUUCAAUAUAUCUGACUUUUAACAUGAUACUUUGAUAUUGGUUGGUGUAAAAUAUUAAUCUGUGUUAGGAAUGAUUGUAUAUUGCAGUAUAACAAAUAUGAAUGUCAGUUACGUAUUGAUUUAGGAAUUGAUUUAUUUCCAGGAAGAAAACUUAUGGUGUGCACUGUUUUCUAACAAUUCAUAUUACCAAAAGUCACGUCUAAAAGUCAUUUGUUCUAAAUAUUGUUGAAAUGGUUAUUCAGAAACUAUUAAUAUGUUUUCUGAAAAGAAAAUGAAAUCAUUUUGAUAUGAGUGAAAAAUGUUGAAAAAUACAUGUGUUAGAGCCAAUCUUUAUAUAGUUGGUGUUAUGAAAAGGAUAAAAUAAGUAUUAACUUAUCUGUAAAAUUAUUUUCUUUUGAUAACAUUGCUUCAGCAAUUAAAACAGAUUUUUUUUGUGAAGUUUUUCUGAGAACUUAAUGUAUUUUUAUAAGAAGUUUUCCUAUAUAAAUUAAAUCAAAGUGCUUAUUCCUUUUAUUGACUCAACAUUCUAAAGAUGUCUAUCACUGAAAUUGAAUGGAAAGACAUUUUGUUUACACUGCACUUGCUUCAUCAUCAACUUUCUGCUGGCAAUUGGCUGAAGUCUUUAAUUUUGUGAAUAUGAAACCUGUAUUUUAUACACUACUUCCUAGAAAUAAUCGAGUGUAUAUAUAACUGAAUUAAUAUUUAAAUGUUAUACAAAUGCAUUGUUAUAGGAUAGUUGAUACCAGGAACUUUAAAGCUUUGAAUAUGAAAUAUUUCUUGUUGAAUAUGGAGGUGAUUUAACUAACAACCCCAUUAUUAUUUUACAGCAGUAAAGUAUGUCUGCCAAAGCUAUAAGUGAAGCCAAGGGGAAGGAGCUACUCAACAAAUUCCUCAAUGGAUCUGUAAAGAAUAAGUUUGCUAUAGUUAAAGAAGAUACUGACUUAGAAUCCCUGACUUCACAACAUUCAUGGCUAGAAUCAGAG